rnacentral:rRNA from 1 species
GGGAGGCAGCAGUAGGGAAUGUUGCACAAUGGAGGAAACUCUGAUGCAGCGACGCCGCGUGAGUGAUGAAGGACUUCGGUUUGUAAAGCUCUGUUGUUAGGGAAUAAAAAAAUGAAUGUACCUCACGAGAAAGGACCGGCUAACUUCGUGCCAGCAGCCGCGGUAAUACGAAGGGUCCAAGCGUUGUUCGGAAUCAUUGGGCGUAAAGCGAGUGCGGGUGGCUCUUUAAGUCAGGAGUGAAAGCCCAGAGCUUAACUCUGGAAGUGCUUUUGAUACUGAAGAGCUUGAAUGUGGCAGAGGGUGCUAGAAUACCUAAUGUAGUGGUGAAAUACGUAGAUAUUAGGUGGAACACCGGUGGCGAAGGCGGGCACCUGGGCCAACAUUGACACUUAGACUCGAAAGCGUGGGGAUCAAACAGGAUUAGAUACCCUCGUA